AAUAAGUGCAUUUUUGCACUAUUUAUAUUCAACGUUUGACCGUCCGUCUUAUUUGAAAAUUUUUUAUGAUUAGUAUUUUUAUUGCUAUUAGAUGAUAAAACAUGAAUAAUACUUUACGUGUGACUAAAUGUUUUUAAUUUUUUCACAAAUUUUUCAAAUAAGACGGACGGUCAAACGUUGAACAUGAAUAGUGCAAAAAUGCACUUAUU
rfam:Oryza rufipogon genomic scaffold, chr01